ACAUUCGUCGGCUCACGCUGGGAAGAGUCCUUCCACGUAGUAAUGAGAGGUUACGCCAUAUGUGCGGCGCUGCCGCCUUCGACGCGGUCCUACUCUGUCACAAGGGAAGAUGUUUAAGGGUAGCGGGAAUGGCGAGUAGUAGCGGUUUUAUGUGGGAAAUAAGGCUUCGCGAAGCAAUAUGCGCGCAAAAAUUAUUUCGGUAACAUAUUCCUUGGAAGCUCUUCACUGUUUCCAUUACAUUUUUCAGGUUUGAAAGAAAGGUCGCCCAGGGCCCUCUAACCGAAGGUCUUACAAAUGUUGGAUAAGAAAGUCCUAUGCCACACUGUACAUACAUUGUUACAUAAAGUACAAGUUAUUCACUGGGCAAAACAAAACCGUACCAGUACACGAGUCACUGGGCAGGACUCAGAACUACGUUUUUAAUAAAGCGACACAGCAAACCAUGAGCACAUCGCCAACGUCUUCGAGGAAAAGAAGGAAACACAUGUUCCGAGAAUUGUCUGUGGAGGUAAUAGAAGGAAAGCGACAUCCUUAAAGUUGAAAUUACAAAGGAGCUGCAGAUACCAGUUUUAGGCACAUGGAACAGGCGACAAAUGUACUUGGAGGAGCAGAAGCAGGAAGCUCAACAGUUGAGGCAUUCAAAGAAAAGCCGUGAUGAGUAAAUGGAGAGCUACAGACACAAUAAAAGGAAAUUACAAAUGACUAUUGCUUAUUUGGUGGUGAAAAGCUGAGGCAACAGAUGACAUCCCAUACACUGUCAAACCAAACAGUAUUCAAAAACUGCAAAUGUUGCAGGUCCAAGUAGUUAAUUGUGCUAUUGCAGAAAAACUUUGAGCGCUUUCUUGAAAUGCUUCCUUGUGUGCGUUUAGUGAUGGGCGGUGAAAGGCAAAUUAGCAGUCUUUCAAAUGUUUGAAAUCAGUGAAAUGCGAUUUGUUUUGUAUCCUUUUGUUUGCAUUAAAGUUAACGAUGUUGUUGAACAAGUUAUUGCCUGUCCAAACUACUAAAAAAAUCGCACGAGGUCCUUGAAGUUACUGUGUCGGGGCCUCGAAAGUUCUUGAAAACCAUGGCAUUUUUCUCUUCAAUAUUGCUACGAACCCAGUAGAACAACUGUCAUGGAGUAAAAACCUUGGCUGA